CCACUGCGGCGCCACGAUUCUGGCCACUCUAGAGACGCUACCGGGCUCGCUUGGCGACAGGUUCACAUGUUGACAUUGCGGCUUCCCAAGGCAUCUACUUUCGACCUGACCAACUCAAACGCGGUCGUCGUCACCGGUUGUGUCUGCGCAGCCGCAAUUGUGCGCCACGUCAGCAUCGGCCGAGGCCACGUGACCUGACACGCUACUCGGCACGCAUCGACAACAGGAGGCGCGGCACUCUUCGGCGGCGCUGAUAUCUGCAACAAAGGCCUGAUCUCGCCCAUUCCAGAGCUACAAAAGGAGCCUUCUUGCGCUGACUGCAUUCAGUUGGCAGUGGCGUCGACACUGGUGUGCAUCGCCUUACGCCUGCUAUUUCCUUCGGUGCAGGUUCAACAGCUUGCGAAUAUAGGAGGUCCAAACCUAGUCUUGCACACGCAGGGUUUUGAGAAGUGUGCUUUGUGACAACCUUGCAUCAACAUUGUCAUGGCACGGACAAGAGUGGAAGAAUGCCUUUGAUUGUCUGCUCCUCUCCAAGUGCAUUGUUGGCAUUUUAACAAAAGCUGUGACAAAAUAUGCAGUAAAGGUCACUCACCCCUAAAUGCGACAAUUUUGUAGUGGAAAGCACAACCAAAGACUGUGUCGGUCAUGCCCCCGCAAGAUGUGCAUCAGAAAAGCCAGCCAGCUGUCCCCUUGGCCAGCGACUAGACCAGCGAUUCAGACAGCGGCUAGACAUGCGAUUCAGCAAGUUACUAGACUAGUCAUCCAACCAACCGUGAAUGUUACUUGUAGGUGACUUUUUUAAGCCGAUACAGUGUCACUUUCUUUCUUGCUCUUCUGCCUCUGAAUGCCUAGCUUAGCAGCUGCUGUGACACUGCUGUGGUUUUGUAGUGUCUGAGUCUCCUUGAAGACAUCUAACAACGCUUUCCAUGAAGCGACCUAGUAUAUAGAUAAAGCGACAAUAAUGCAUGCAGCUUGGUGUGCAGAAGCUACCUUUGUAGGAGCUGAGAUGGGAGAUGUUUUUAUAGGUCUCGUUAUGGAUCGUUUUGUUGUGGCACCCAUUCUUAAAAACUGAAUAUAUAGCUAAUCGCCUCGCAAUGUGCAAAAUGUUUUGAGGUUUUUUAUCCAUGUAGAAUUAAAUUUCCACUUUCUGAAA